rnacentral:rRNA from 1 species
CCUACGGGAGGCUGCAGUGAGGAAUAUUGGUCAAUGGCCGUAAGGCUGAACCAGCCAAGUAGCGUGAGGGAAGACUGCCCUAUGGGUUGUAAACCUCUUUUAUGCGGGGAUAAAUGUGUCCACGUGUGGAUGUUUGCAGGUACCGCAUGAAUCAGGACCGGCUAAUUCCGUGCCAGCCGCCGCGGUAAUACGGAAGGUCCGGGCGUUAUCCGGAUUUAUUGGGUUUAAAGGGAGCGUAGUCCGGUGUUUAAGCGUGCCGUGAAAUUUUGUGGCUCAACCAUGAGAGUGCGGCGCGAACUGGAGAGCUUGAGUGCGCGGAAGGCAGGCGGAAUUCGUGGUGUAGCGGUGAAAUGCGUAGAUAUCACGAAGAACCCCGAUGGCGAAGGCAGCCUGCCGAAGCGUUACUGACGCUGAAGCUCGAAAGCGUGGGUAUCGAACAGGAUUAGAUACCCCAGUAGUC